CUACGGGCCGCAGCAGUGAGGAAUUUUGCGCAAUGGGGGAAACCCUGACGCAGCAACGCCGCGUGAGUGAAGAAGGCCCUUGGGUCGUAAAGCUCUGUCAAUGGGGAAGAAGUUAUUAUGUGUUAAUAGCACAUUUUAUUGACGGUACCCAUGAAGGAAGCACCGGCUAACUCCGUGCCAGCAGCCGCGGUAAUACGGGGGGUGCAAGCGUUAUUCGGAAUUAUUGGGCGUAAAGGGCACGCAGGCGGUCCUGUCAGUCAGAUGUGAAAGCCCGGGGCUCAACCCCGGACGUGCAUUUGAAACAGCAGGACUAGAAUACGGGAGAGGAAAGGGGAAUUCCUGGUGUAGAGGUGAAAUUCGUAGAUAUCAGGAGGAACACCGGUGGCGAAGGCGCCUUUCUGGACCGAUACUGACGCUGAGGUGCGAAGGCGUGGGUAGCGAACGGGAUUAGAUACCCGGGUAGUC
rnacentral:rRNA from 1 species